GAUGAAGAACGUAGCGAAAUGCGAUACGUAAUGUGAAUUGCAGAAUUCAGUGAAUCAUCGAGUCUUUGAACGCACAUUGCGCCCUCUGGUAUUCCGGAGGGCAUGCCUGUCCGAGCGUCAUUGCUGCCCUCAAGCACGGCUUGUGUGUUGGGCCCCGUCCUCCUUCCGGGGGACGGGUCCGAAAGGCAGCGGCGGCACCGCGUCCGGUCCUCAAGCGUAUGGGGCUUUGUCACUCGCUUUGUAGGCCUGGCCGGCGCUUGCCGAUCAACCAAACUUUUUAUCAGGUUGACCUCGGAUCAGGUAGGGAUACCCGCUGAACUUAAGCAUAUCAAUAAGCGGAGA
rnacentral:misc_RNA from 1 species